rnacentral:rRNA from 1 species
GACGAACGCUGGCGGCGUGCUUUACACAUGCAAGUCGAACGGUGAAGGUGGAGCUUGCUCCGCUGGAUCAGUGGCGAACGGGUGAGUAACACGUGGGCAACCUGCCCCUAACUUUGGGAUAACUACUCGAAAGAGUAGCUAAUACCGGAUAUGAAGUCUGUAGGCAUCUACGGACUUGGAACGUUUUUCGGUUAGGGAUGGGCCCGCGGCCUAUCAGCUUGUUGGGGAGGUAGUGGCUCACCAAGGCGACGACGGGUAGCCGGCCUGAGAGGGCGACCGGCCACACUGGGACUGAGACACGGCCCAGACUCCUACGGGAGGCAGCAGUGGGGAAUAUUGCGCAAUGGGCGAAAGCCUGACGCAGCAACGCCGCGCGCGGGAUGAAGGCCUUCGGGUUGUAAACCGCUUUCAGCAGGGAAGAAGCGAAAGUGACGGUACCUGCAGAAGAAGCACCGGCUAACUACGUGCCAGCCGCCGCCGUAA